UACGUAGGGUCCGAGCGUUGUCCGGAAUUACUGGGCGUAAAGGGUGCGUAGGCGGUUCGUUAAGUCUGUCGUGAAAUCCCCGGGCUUAACCUGGGAACUGCAUUGGAGACUGGCGAGCUAGAGUGUGGCAGAGGGGGGUAGAAUUCCACGUGUAGCAGUGAAAUGCGUAGAGAUGUGGAGGAAUACCGAUGGCGAAGGCAGCCCCCUGGGCUAACACUGACGCUCAUGCACGAAAGCGUGGGGAGCAAACAGG
rnacentral:rRNA from 1 species